UCCUGGACCCAGGGGCCUCCCCUCCCCAAGGGGUGGAGCUGGUCUUACUGCAGAUAAGGCAUAGCCUACAGGCAACCCCAAGAGAAAGCGCACCCACACACCAGGAGGGAAGGGACACCCAGGCCAGACCUCGGGUGUCUAGGCCUGAGAAGGAGCAGAGGGGCAGAAGCCGCCCGUUCGGCUCCCCCUGGAGAGGACCCAGCCAGCAGCUAUGGCAACCUGGGAGCUGCAAGUGUUCGUGGGGGACCAAGAGGCCCAAGAGGAGUCCGUCACCCUGCGGGUCUCCGGCGAGUCUCACAUCGGCGGCGUCAUCCUCAAGAUCGUGGAGGAGAUCAGAAAGAGACCCCAGGCACCCUCCCAAUGAGCCCACGUCAGAGGCGAGACUGGAAGCCAGGCUUUCCGGGCUCCGAGGCCAGCGCUGCCCUGUAUACGGCUAGAGAAUCACGAAUCAAAUUAUGCCAGCUGGUGCUUCCAUGCCGCACCCCCGCCUCCAAAGGGCUUCACAUCCCUUGAAGAGGUCAGUGUUGAGGGGGCAGCUAGAUGGGUCAGUGGAUGGAGCACCGGCCCUGAGGUCAGGAGGCCCUGAGUUCAAAUUC